AGUAACGCGUGGGAACGUACCCUUCACUACGGAAUAGCUUCUGGAAACGGAAGGUAAUACCGUAUACGCCCUCCGGGGGAAAGAUUUAUCGGUGAAGGAUCGGCCCGCGUUAGAUUAGUUUGUUGGUGGGGUAAUGGCCUACCAAGACUACGAUCUAUAGCUGGUCUGAGAGGAUGAUCAGCCACACUGGGACUGAGACACGGCCCAGACUCCUACGGGAGGCAGCAGUGGGGAAUCUUGCACAAUGGGCGAAAGCCUGAUGCAGCCAUGCCGCGUGAAUGAUGAAGGCCUUAGGGUUGUAAAAUUCUUUCGCCAGGGAUGAUAAUGACAGUACCUGGUAAAGAAGCCCCGGCUAACUUCGUGCCAGCAGCCGCGGUAAUACGAAGGGGGCUAGCGUUGUUCGGAAUUACUGGGCGUAAAGCGCGCGUAGGCGGGCUAUUAAGCCAGAUGUGAAAGCCCGGAGCUCAACUCCGGAAUUGCAUUUGGAACUGGUAGCCUAGAGACCAGGAGAGGUUAGCGGAAUACCGAGUGUAGAGGUGAAAUUCGUAGAUAUUCGGUGGAACACCAGUGGCGAAGGCGGCUAACUGGACUGGUACUGACGCUGAGGCGCGAAAGUGUGGGGAGCAAACAGGAUUAGAUACCCUGGUAGUCCACACCGUAAACGAUGAAUG
rnacentral:rRNA from 1 species